rnacentral:rRNA from 1 species
UCAAAGCUAGCCUACACACCAACUUUAACCAAACCUAAUAAAUCUAAUUAACAUUAUAAUUUUCAACCAAAACAUUCUCAACCUUUUAGUAUGGGUGACAGAACAAUAACUCCAGCGCAAUAGCUUAUGUACCGCAAGGGAAAGCUGAAAAAGAAAUGAAAUAAACCAUUAAAGUACUAAAAAGCAGAGAUUAUACCUCGUACCUUUUGCAUCAUGAUUUAACUAGAAAAAUUAGGCAAAAAGACUUUAAGUCUACCUCCCCGAAACUAAACGAGCUACUCCGAAGCAGCAUUAUAGAGCUAACCCGUCUCUGUGGCAAAAGAGUGGGAAGACUUCCGAGUAGUGGUGAAAAGCCUACCGAGUUUAGUGAUAGCUGGUUACCCAAAAAAAGAACUUCAAUUCUGCAUUAAUUUUUAACUACCUAAACAAGACUUCCUAGUCAAAGGAACUCAUAAGAAUUAAUAGUUAUUUAGAAGAGGUACAGCCCUUCUAAACCAAGAUACAACUUUUUAAGAUGGGAAAUGAUCACAAUUAUCAAGGUUACUCCCUCAGUGGGCCUAAAAGCAGCCACCUGUAAAGCAAGCGUCGCAGCUCCAGCUCAACAACCAAACCUUUAAUUUUGAUAUCUACUCAUUACCCUCUUUAUCCUAUUGGGUUAUUUUAUAAAAAUAUAAAAGAACUUAUGCUAAAAUGAGUAAUAAAGAGAAUAAACCUCUCCCGACACAAGUGUAUGUCAGAAGAAUUAAAUCACUGAUAAUUAAAACGGCCCCAAACUGAGGCCAUUAUAUUAUUUAAACAUUAACCAGAAAACCCUAUUCUUCCACCCGUUAACCCUACACAGGAGUGUCACCAGGAAAGA